CAGAAUAUAGCUAAAUUAGAAAGCGUCUCUUUUACACAGAGUUAAUACCUGUGCAAUUCAGGUUAUUUUGA
rnacentral:tRNA from 1 species